rnacentral:lncRNA from 1 species
ACGGUGGAGUUUUAUACCGGACUUUCCUCCGGCGAAGUCAGUGGCAAUGUUACAAACAGGAUCAGGUGAAGAAACCAAUCUCAAAAAGCAAUUCUGAGGCUUAAUUGUUUUGCCAUAACAAGUUGUGUUUGUAAUCAAGUCAAAUUUUCCAGCUUCAUCUGUUAGGUCACUUCCAUAAUAAAUUAAAGCAAUUCUGAGGUUUAAUAAUUUUUCCAUAACAAGUUGUGUUUGUAAUCAAGUCAAAUUUUCCAGCUUCAUCUGUUAGGUCACUUCCAUAAUACAUUACUCUUCUCCUCUCAUCUAGGCAUGUAAGUGAUACUAUACUACCUGCAUAAUAUCCGAAGCGAAUUCAGAAUUUAGAAUCGGCGAGUUCAGAAUAAGUGUAAUCUUAUUACCGUUAAACUUUUAUAUGACUGUCAUCCUCUAUAUCAACAUUUCACUAUAACGGUCAAGUUAUUCUUUAGAAUCAAUUUAUCAUAGUGCUUCACUAUAGGAGCCAAAAAGUAUUCGAAACAAAAGAGGUUGUUAUAGAGAUGUUUGAUUGUAUAUGUAUAUCCAUUUUAAAUUCCUUUGCAUAGUUAUGCUAUAAAAGGACAACCCGGUGCAUUAAACUCUCGUAAUGUCCGUCUUUGGAAGGGCUGGACCAUAAGAGUCUAUUGUACGCAGUCUU